UCAGGUGGCCGCAGAGAAUAGGCCCAAGCGACUGUUUACCAAAAACAUAGGUUUCUGCUAAGUCGCAAGACGAUGUAUAGGAGCUGACGCCUGCCCGGUGCUGGAAGGUUAAGGGGAUCUGUUAGAGCAAUCGAAGCAGUGAACUUAAGCCCCAGUAAACGGCGGCCGUAACUAUAACGGUCCUAAGGUAGCGAAAUUCCUUGUCGGGUAAGUUCCGACCCGCACGAAAGGCGUAACGAUUUGGGCACUGUCUCAACAACAGACUCGGUGAAAUUGUAAUUCCGGUGAAGAUGCCGGAUACCUGCGACAGGACGGAAAGACCCCAUGGAGCUUUACUGUAGCUUGACAUUGGGUCUUGGUACUACAUGUACAGGAUAGGUGGGAGGCUUUGAAACCAGGACGCCAGUUUUGGCGGAGCCAUCCUUGGGAUACCACCCUUGUAGUACUGGGACUCUAACCAUAGGCCAUGAAUCUGGUCUUGGGACACUGUCAGGUGGGCAGUUUGACUGGGGCGGUCGCCUCCCAAAAGGUAACGGAGGCGCUCAAAGGUUCUCUCAGUACGGUCGGAAAUCGUACGUAGAGUGUAAAGGCAAAAGAGAGCUUGAUUGCAAGACAUACAGGUCGAGCAAGGAUGAAAAUCGGACUUAGUGAUCCGGUGGUUCUGCGUGGAAGGGCCAUCGCUCAACGGAUAAAAGCUACCCUGGGGAUAACAGGCUUAUCUCCCCCAAGAGUCCACAUCGACGGGGAGGUUUGGCACCUCGAUGUCGGCUCAUCACAUCCUGGGGCUGUAGUAGGUCCCAAGGGUUGGGCUGUUCGCCCAUUAAAGUGGUACGCGAGCUGGGUUCAGAACGUCGUGAGACAGUUCGGUCCCUAUCCGUCGCAGGCGUAGGAAAUUUGAGAAGAC
rnacentral:rRNA from 1 species